AUUGAACGCUGGCGGCAGGCCUAACACAUGCAAGUCGAGCGGAUGAAGGGAGCUUGCUCCUGGAUUCAGCGGCGGACGGGUGAGUAAUGCCUAGGAAUCUGCCUGGUAGUGGGGGAUAACGUCCGGAAACGGGCGCUAAUACCGCAUACGUCCUGAGGGGGAAAGUGGGGGAUCUUCGGACCUCACGCUAUCAGAUGAGCCUAGGUCGGAUUAGCUAGUUAGUGGGGUAAAGGCCUACCAAGGCGACGAUCCGUAACUGGUCUGAGAGGAUGAUCAGUCACACUGGAACUGAGACACGGUCCAGACUUCUACGGGAGGCAGCAGUGGGGAAUAUUGGACAAUGGGCGAAAGCCUGAUCCAGCCAUGCCGCGUGUGUGAAGAAGGUCUUCGGAUUGUAAAGCACUUUAAGUUGGGAGGAAGGGCAGUAAGUUAAUACCUUGCUGUUUUGACGUUACCAACAGAAUAAGCACCGGCUAACUUCGUG
rnacentral:rRNA from 1 species